GGUUUUCUUAAUGUUUUGGAAUGAAAAAAGAUAGAGAUAAAAAAUAGAACAGCAAUUACAUUAAAUUAAGUGAUUUGCUUAGCAGUUUUCUAUUUGAGAAAUAAUCACGUAGAUCUGGGAAUAGCAACAAACUAUAUAGUAUACGUUUUAUUAUUGUUUAUGCAAGCCAUACGAAAGAUACUAAGAAAAGAACCAAGUGUGUAAUAAAAAUAAAAUGUGAUUACACGCUUGGCUUGAGUGAAAUAAGACACCCUUUGUUACGGCCCGACCGUCAUUUUUUCAUCGAACAUAUGGACAAUGAAACUUUCACAGCUAAGAAAGAAAAAAAGAAGAGAGGUGAAAAAAAAACGAAGAUGGACGUUUUGUUGCCACCUUGUAGGGAUAAGCAUGACAAAUUAUAUUAGAUUUUCACAUAUAUUCAAAUAUUGGCGCGAAGUUUAUCGAGGAUUAUGCUGUACGCAUACGUGACGCGACGUCAUAUUCGUACAAAGAACGUCAGCUCAACAUGCCUUCAUAUCGUCCUCAUUGAUUUCAGCUAGUUCCAGGUCGUGGGAUUGCGAACACGGGAAGGAAUAAUUAAUAAAUAAGAUUAUCUUAACAUUUAAACAAUGUACGAUAUAGGUAUAGUAUAAUUAAUUAAUAUUAAUUAAAACAAUAGGAUAUUCUUAGCAACGUUAUAAAAAUCAUAUACAUGUUGUACUACCAUAUACUAUUGAUUAAUAGAUAUACUAUCGAUUUAAAAUUGAAACGCACAGAAAACUUUCUUCGCUGUCAUUUCUAUUUAUUCUUAUUUACUCUCAUUAAUUAUCCUUUAUAUAUCUCGUGUGGGACCCAUAGGAUGGGUGAGGGCCUCUGUGCGGGUUGCUGUCUUAGCAUCGUGUAGAGCUGUUUAUAUUUUUUUUAUCUUUCUGUGGCUCUCUUUUCUGUCAUACUUUUCUUUUUUUAUUAUAUUUUUUUAAUAUUCAUUUAUGUUAUUUAUUUUUAAUUAUGUUUUUAAUUAUGUCAUUAAUAUACUCUUAUUAAUUAUGGUUUAUACCCUCGGGUGGAACACAUGGGAUGGGCCCAUGGGUGUGGGCCUCUGUGCGGGCUGCUGUUUCAGCAUCGUAUAGAACUGCUUCUCUUUUUUCUCUUUCUGCGGCUCUCUUUUUUUUUCUUUUUCGGCUCUUUUCUAUCUCAUAUUUUUCUUUUCUAAUUAUGUUUUCAAUUAUUUUAUUAAUAUAUUAUUUCUUUUAAUUAUGUUUUUUUAAUAUUUAUUUGAUAUUUUUUUAAAUUAUAUUUUUAAUUAUGUUAUUAAUAUACUCUUAUUAAUUAUGAUUUAUAAGCCUUAGGUAGGACCAUAGGAUGGUGCGGGCUGCUGUUUUAAGAUCGUGCAAAGCUACUUCUCUUUUCGUUUUUUUCUCUAGCUUUUUUAUUUAUUUAUAUAUAUUUAUUUUCUAUUUUGUUUAUUUUUUAUUAUAUUUAUUUUGUAUUUAUAAUCUAUAUAUAUAUUAUUUUCUAUUUUAUAUAUUUUUUUUCUUUCUCUUAUUUUCUCCUUAGGUUUUUCUUUCCCAUUAUAGAUCAUCGAGGGAUAGAUUCACCUGCGCUCGGAUGACUCCUCGCAUAGUUCGAUUCGCCAUCGAUUUUAACGCGAGAAUACGGGAAGGAUAGGAAGAACACUGUCGCGCAUGUCGGCGGGCAUAGGCGUGGGUGUUCUUGGGCGCGAUUAAACUUCGUUUGGUUGUUCGUGAGAAAACGCGGAUUAUAGAGUAGAGUCACUUUUAUUCUAACACUCACGUGGGUAUUCGGGCGCAAUUAAAGGUCCUACCGUGGAGUUCGUUUUAUUUGCUUGAAAAUUCGAUUAGAUUAUCUCGCGAACGCGUAUAUUAGAGGAGAGUCAGCGUUAUUUUAAUAUACACGUAAGUAUUGCGAACGCGAUUAAAAAUCCUACCGAGAACUGCGCUUUUAUUGUUCGAAAUCUGGAAAGCACGAACGGUCAUGCUGAAUAAUUCGUGAUGUCUGAGGAUGUCGAAUGGUGAAGCUAUCGGUAAGAGGGGUCUUAUACACUUCCAGUUAGCUGAGAAGCCUCAAAACACCUAAAACGGAAAGGCAUCACAGAUCGGUAUCGCGGAACGUGAAUUUUAGAGUAGUCACCGUUAGCCCGCGGGUCUCCAUAUGCAGCACGUAUUGAGAUCUGGGUCGGUAUUACUUACGAAGUUUAAUUCUAAAUCAUAUAACGCAAGUAUUACCGAGCGAAUGGCUGCGUCUUCAUGCGUUUUCAAAAUUUUUUCUUUUCAUAUCUUACUAGACAUUCAUUUAUAUUUUAUUAAUCGUAUUUUCUGCUUUUAUUUUCGCGAUUCUUUGUCCGGUUUUUUUACGAAGUUCUAAUUAAUAAUUGAUUAGGCUUCAUUUUAGGUUAUAUUAGAUUUUCAAAUAUUCGUGCAAAAUUUAUCGAGGAUUAUGUCGAGCGCAUGCGCGGAGAAUAAUACUGCAAAUGUUUUUGCGGUGAAAGAUGGAUACCAGAAACGGUACAUAUUCGUACGAUGGAUACUAGCUCGAUACGCCUCGUAUCCAUCGUUCUCGUUGAGUUCAGAUAUUCAGGAAAAUGAAGUCGAUUUGGUGAGCAGUUUUCCAGUUGAGAGGAAAAUCAUGUAAAUUUGGUAAUAGUAAUGAAGCAUGUAGUUUUAUUACUGUUUUAUGCAAACAAUAUGAAAGAUACUAAGAAUAGAACCAAGCGUGUAAUAAAACAAAACGUGGCUACACGCUUGUUAAGUAAAAUAUGAUACUCUUUGUUAUGGCCCAACCGUUAUUUUUCUUACAAAGACGUGACAAUGAAACUUUCAGAAUCGCGUUAAGAGGAAAAAGAAAAAACAUAAACAAAAGAAGAAGACCAACCGACAAGACGCUUACGUCGUUGUAACUUUAUGUAGAGAUAUACCAUUGAAUCGUUCUUAUUCGUGCUUGGUAUCGAUGUUUUCAACAGCUUCUUUUAAGCUAGAAUUAUUGGUGAUAAUUAUAACACGAUUCUUCACGAUUGAAUCAAGAAGACAUCUUUUGAGGACCCCUAUCCCAGAGCUUUUGUAAUGGAUCACGGUUGGAAAAAAGUGAAUAACAUUGAUUG